GGAAUAGCUCAGUCGAUAGAGCAUGAGACUCUUAAUCUCAGGUCCAUGGGUUUGAGCCCCAUAGGCCA